GAUGAACGCUGGCGGCGUGCCUAAUACAUGCAAGUAGAACGCUGAAGGAAGGAGCUUGCUCUUUCCGGAUGAGUUGCGAACGGGUGAGUAACGCGUAGGUAACCUGCCUGGUAGCGGGGGAUAACUAUUGGAAACGAUAGCUAAUACCGCAUAACAGUAGAUGUUGCAUGAUAUCUACUUAAAAGGUGCAAUUGCACCACUACCAGAUGGACCUGCGUUGUAUUAGCUAGUUGGUGAGGUAACGGCUCACCAAGGCGACGAUACAUAGCCGACCUGAGAGGGUGAUCGGCCACACUGGGACUGAGACACGGCCCAGACUCCUACGGGAGGCAGCAGUAGGGAAUCUUCGGCAAUGGACGGAAGUCUGACCGAGCAACGCCGCGUGAGUGAAGAAGGGUUUCGGAUCGUAAAGCUCUGUUGUAAGAGAAGAACGAGUGUGAGAGUGGAAAGUUCACACUGUGACGGUAUCUUACCAGAAAGGGGCGGCUAACUACGUG
rnacentral:rRNA from 1 species